rnacentral:rRNA from 1 species
UACGUAGGGUGCGAGCGUUAAUCGGAAUUACUGGGCGUAAAGCGUGCGCAGGCGGUUUGUUAAGCCAGAUGUGAAAGCCCCGGGCUCAACCUGGGAACUGCGUUUGGUACUGGCAAGCUAGAGUACGGCAGAGGGGGGUGGAACUCCGAGUGUAGAGGUGAAAUUCGUAGAUAUUCGGAAGAACACCAGUGGCGAAGGCGGCUCACUGGUCCGGUACUGACGCUGAUGUGCGAAAGCGUGGGGAGCAAACAGG